rnacentral:rRNA from 1 species
CAGUCGCCGCGGUAAUACAGAGGGUGCAAGCGUUAAUCGGAAUUACUGGGCGUAAAGCGCGCGUAGGUGGUUUGUUAAGUUGGAUGUGAAAGCCCCGGGCUCAACCUGGGAACUGCAUCCAAAACUGGCAAGCUAGAGUACGGUAGAGGGUGGUGGAAUUUCCUGUGUAGCGGUGAAAUGCGUAGAUAUAGGAAGGAACACCAGUGGCGAAGGCGACCACCUGGACUGAUACUGACACUGAGGUGCGAAAGCAUGGGGAGCAAACAGGAUUAGAUACCCCCGUAGUCCCUGUCUCUUAUAC